ensembl:lncRNA
CAAACAUUUACUGAGCACCACGUACUACACCAUGACCAGCACCCUCCUCUGCUCUCCUGGUGCCGUGCCAUCAGGUGAUGCUUCUGAGAACACGGCAAAGGACCUUUAUUUCCCUUAUGGAAUGUAUUGCUGUACUUGGAAGGGAUGUUUAGAACUACCACGGCCGUCUUGUGACCAUGAAGGGCAGCCAAUCUGAGGGCAAAUAAAAUUUUCUGAGGAUGGUAAAGCAAAGAAAUAAAAACCAGUGUCUUCAAUGACAUCGUUGAGUUCAUGGACAACUGUGCCUGCUUUUCAAUUCAUGUUACCUGGUGUUAUAAUUGUCCUUGUUCCAUCAGCAGGUUUGGAUUGAAGUCUUCUGCAAUGGCAUCCUCACUGAUAACAGAGCAGAUGCAAAUCAUAGGGCUCAGAAAGGUCACAGGGCACUUAGAAACGGCCAAUAGUUCCUCACGUCUGAAAUGCAGGAUAUUGUGGAGUGGAGAGUGAGAUGACGGCUAGAGAUAAGGUGAAAUACUAGACAAGGGUCAGAUCAUGAAGGGCCUUGUAUGUUAGGAUCAGACAUUUGCACUUUAUUUUGUACGUACUGGGGAGGCAUUGAAAAGUUUCAAGCAAGGUAAUGGUAUAAUUAGGUUUGCAGUUUAGAAGCAUUCGUCUGACUACUGUGUGGUGGAUUGAAGAGUACCCUCUGAUAAGACACCAAGGUCAUUCAGUUCAAGAACAAAUGGAUUCACACGCAGGUGGGUCUCUCUCCAUUAUCCUUCCAUUUUAGCUUGGAAAGACAGAGGUUAAGAAAAUAUAUGCAAACUGGGAAAUUAGAGGAGCAGACAGUAAGCAUUUCAGAAUUUCAUCAGAGAAGAGCACGUUGGGGGUCAUGGAGAGUUUCAAGAAACAGAUUGGAUUUGAGCUGAAUGCCGAAGGACUUAGAAACCUUGGAGGUUGAGUAGAGCAUGAAACAACACAGAGGAAUGGCAAGUCAAGCUGGAAUGGAGAGUUUUAUGGGGGGAGGAUAAAGAUGGGAUGGUCACUUGCAAUCAAAAGGGCAGAGAAAAGAAAUGAAUCUUUACCCUGAUUCCACCACUUAGCAGUUGUGGAAUGCUGGGUUUGAUAUACUUUUAUUUCCUAAUUGUUUUAAUUGGGAUUACAAACAUACGCUUUAUUAACAUCACCAAGCGAUGUCAUACAGAUAUCGGAUGCCCCCUGAUGUCAUGUGAUGAGAAAGACACUUGCCUGUGUGGUAUCCUUUCCAAAAACCCUAACCCUGGUCUAAUCAUGAGAAGAACAUCAGACAAACCCAAUUUGAGGAACAUUCUACAAAAUAUCUGACUAGCACUCCUCAAGACUGUCAAGGUCAUGAAAAACAAAGAAAGACUGAGAAACUGUCACAGACCAGAGGAAACUAAGAGGACAGGACAACUGAAUGCCAUGUAUAUUCUGGACUAGAUCCUAGAUCAGAAAAAAGACAUUAAUGAAAAAAAUAGUGAAAACUGAAUACAAUUUAGGUUUAGUUCACACUAAUUUACCACCGUUGGUUUCUUAAUUCUGACAAACUAACCACUGUAAUAUAAAUAGUAACAACAGGGGCCAAUGAAACUGAGUGAGGGAUAGGCUAUCACUGUUGUCUUUGCAACUUUUCCAUAAAUCUAAAAUUAUUCCAAAAUAAAGAUUUUAUUUAAAAACAAGAUCUCCUUCACUGAGUUGUUAUGAGGAUUGAGUGAAAGGAUCCAUAUAAGGCAGCUGGUAUAGUGCCUGACGCAUAACAGGGCCUCAAAUGUUUCUCUCUAAACUAGAGAUUCUCAAAUUUAGGGUGUGUAAAAAUCACCUAGAGGUGUUUUGUCAGAAAUGCAAACAAACCCCAGGGCAUCAGUCUCAGAGAUUCUGAUUUAGUAGGUCUAGAAUAGGGCUCAGGAAAAAGAAUUUGUUAAUGGGUGCCCUCUAGAGAUCUUGAUGUGGGGCUUGCUGCUCUAGACUAUAGGGAUCCUGGGGUGAGAGCUGUACAUUCCCCUGAGGAGGAAAAUAAUGGAGAUAUAACGCCUGCCUACUUGCCUCAAAUGGGUGGAAGGGAGAAAAGGGGAAAAUAUAGAAGCAAGCACUUCAAAAACUGUAAGUUACAAUUUAAAUCGUUACAGAUUAAUUUGGGAUGAAACAGAGGUCUGAUUAGCUAGCCAUUUAAUAAUAACAGUGUGGUUGAAAUCUAACUUUUAUUCAUUUCAGCCACCUAAAAAUAUUCAGCUGCUUUUCCUGCUGAAGCACUCAGAUGACCCACAGGACAAAGGCACAGUUCAACCCCUUCAAUUACGGAUGAGCUAAAUGAAGCUGAGGGAUGAGAUGUGACUGGUUCAAGGUCACAGAACCAGUGACUGAGAGAACGGAUUAGAACCCACUCUUUUUUUCAGCUUCAUUGAGUGCACAACAGUAGAAGCCACUCUUGCAAGCUCCAAUCAAGGUGUUCUUUCUGCUACCAGAUGAUCAUUGAUCGCUGCACUCAGAGUUUCAGACCUUUCACAUGGGCUCUGGAGAAAGAGAAAGGCUGUCUGACUUAUUGAGGUGGAUGCCAAAAGUUUGUUAACCUAAGUCCUGCUCUUGGCUCACUGUGUUCUAGAAUAACUCAGUUUUCACUUCAGCUAGAUGGAGUAAAAUGGGAUCAUCUGCCUGGGAAAACGGCCCUUUGUGGACAGUCCUCAAUCAUGCUUGGAUUCCGCAUCAUCAGCCACGUCAGCAACGUGUCAUUAACCUGAAAAAACUCACCAGGCCUUCAGAAUGCUGAGUGACAGAUGAGGCGCACCUCCGUGCUCUGGCUCUGCCUAACCACACCACCAUGAAAUACAUUGCUUAUAACUCUACCAUUCCUUCUGUAACCCAAGGUUACUUGUAGGAGAAAUAGAAACCAAGGCGUAUCACUGUGUUUCCUUCUCUCUCUAACUCGAUAUGGGUGAAAUCAGUUUUAAAUUAAGGUCGUCCUCUCACCACGUUUUGCUUUGCCCCUCUGCUCACAUUGCGGCUUUCUGGGCUCUGCUCUGAGAAGUGAGGUAUGAGCGUGGCUGCCCACGUUUCCUACGGUCUGUCUGCGAGUCACCAUAACCCCUCGGGGUUGAUGAGUGCAGCAAGUAGGCUUUCACUGAAUCUCCACUUUCUUCCCUUUUUUUCCCCUAGAUGCUUUUCCCCGGCCCAGAUAGAACUUUUCCUUCUACCCCGUGUCCUGAGAAAUGCCAUUACAUCAUAAACUAUAUCCUUCCUACUCUGUGACGUAUGUUCAAGACGCUUUGCUCUGAAUACUCCAGGUUUUGGGCCUAUAAAUCCUUUUAUCCUACAACAAAUCCUGGCUCUUGCAAAUGCAAUCAAGCUUUAGCUUUAAGAGUUACUUUCUCCAAAAUAAUUUUUAUUUAAGAAUCUAUCAUGAAAGCCAGAAUUUAACAACUGAGGAAGAAGGGCAGGUAGUGAGGGACUGGACUGAAAACAGAGAUUGUUCAAAUGUGCAUUUUGAGUGGUGAGAUCCUUCAGCUUCCUUCCAUAUCCGGUUAUCUUUCCUCAGGAAGCUACAGGAGGAUGUGCUCCACCAAUAUGAGGGACUAAACCAAGAAAGAGGAAGUGUGGGAUUCAGGAAGCAGGAGAAAUAUGUAGGGAAUUCUCAGGAUGGUGCUGAAGGAAAAUCCCAGGAUGACAGCUGUGCAUUAGGUCCAGACUGGAAGAGAGGAUGGAGGGCUCCAGGGAAAAAGGAUCAUCGAGUUGCUUUUGCUGUAUGGAAAGUUGAACUGAGUUGCUGUUAAAGGGCCUGGGCAGAUCUAGCUUCUAGAACAAGAUAAAAAAAAGGAUCUCACCAAAUUCUAAGGAGGAACAGUUACUGAUUCCAGAAAAAAAAAAGUUGCACCAAGAAGGAUAGGUAAUCAUAGUCAGCCACUUAAUUCAGCAGUGAACAAUAUUUAAAUGUCCAAUUAAUGUAAGCUCUGACUGUUGCUUUGAUUAAAAAAGAAAACACGGCAUAUAUUUAUGAUGGAAAAAUGGGGAGAGGAAGAUGGAUGUGAGUGUAGAGCAGUACUCUCAUCUUUCAUGUUACUCUUGUCCUUGUUUACAGCCAGUUAAGGAUUUGUAUCUGGUACUCCUCUUCAUGAUCCCUGCUACAGCGCUGCGCUCUUGUCAUUUCAGAAGUUCUCUUUCUUCAACUUUCUCUGCCUUCUUUUUUCCUAGAGCUUCAUUUCAAUCUCCUGCUCUUUGAGAACUCUUCUCUACUGUCUCAUUAGCAUUUUUUCUUACAAUUUCUCAGAGGUCUUUACACUUUAGCAAUUUUUGCAUUUCUUCAAAAAUUUUAAAUAUUUU